rnacentral:rRNA from 1 species
UACGGGGGGAGCAAGCGUUGUUCGGAUUUAUUGGGCGUAAAGAGCGUGUAGGCGGCCAGGUAGGUCUGCUGUGAAAACUCGAGGCUCAACCUCGAGAUGUCGGCGGAAACCAUCUGGCUAGAGUCCGGAAGAGGAAAGUGGAAUUCCUGGUGUAGCGGUGAAAUGCGCAGAUAUCAGGAAGAACACCCGUGGCGAAGGCGGCUUUCUGGGACGGUACUGACGCUGAGACGCGAAAGCGUGGGGAGCGAACAGG